CUUUGUAAGGCGCAGAAAAAAGACAAUCAGAUACAAUAUCAGGGAUCUUCUGGUAAGGCUUCUGGAUACCAUUAGUUCUGAAUACUGAGGAUUUGAGGAGAAAAAUGGCUGUGAGUUUUGAAAUGUCUUUGAGGUAAUUAUAGAUAUAUUCCCCAAAAUCAAUUAAAAGGAAUUGGCCACAAUGCAGCGGUAGCUACCAGCUCCCGUGCCUCGGCAGGUGAAGCUACCGGAUCCCGUGCCUCGGCAGGUGAAGCAGCCACCCGUAAUGCCACUGCAAGCGCCACGACUGGCCCAAAAAUCUUAGGUGGAGCAACCGGAUCCCGUGCCUCAGAAGCAGUCACCCACAAUGCCUCAGCAAGCGUCACGACUGGCCCAAAUACCUUAGCUGAAGAAACUGGCCACAAUGCUUCAUCAAGCGCCACGACUGGCCCAAAUGCCUUAGGUGAAGCAGCUGGCCAUAGUGCCUCGGCAGCGGAAGCAACUGGCCACAGUGCCAUGCAAGCGGCCACCCACAAUGCCUCAGCAAGCAUCACGACUGGCCCAAAUACCUUAGCUGAAGCAACUGGCCAAAAUGCUUCAUCAAGCGCCACGACUGGCCCAAAUGCCUUAGGUGAAGCAGCUGGUCACAGUGACGCGCAAGCGGCCACCCAUAAUGCCUCGGCAAGUGUGGCAACUGGCCCAAAUACCUUAGGUGAAACAACUGGCCACAAUGCUUCAUCAAGCGCCACGACUGGCCCAAAUGCCUUAGGUGAAGCAACUGGCCACGGUGCCUCCGUAGUGGAAGCAAUUGGACACAGUGCCAUGCCAGCGGCCACCAAUAAUGCCUCGGAAAAGGCCACCCAUAAUGCGUCAGCAAGCGUCACGACUGGCCCAAAUACCUUAGCUGAAGCAAUUUGCCACAGUGCUUCAUCAAGCGCCACGACUGGCCCAAAUACCUUCGGUGAAGCAACCGGCCACGGUACCUCAUCAAGUCGGUACCUCAUCAAAUCUGGUUCAAAUUCCUCGGCGGAAGCCACAGGCGCCCUUGCCUCGGCGGAAGCCACAGGCGCCCUUGCCUCGGCGGAAGCCACAGGCGCCCUUGCCUCGGCGGAAGCCACAGGCGCCCUUGCCUCGGCGGAAGCCACAGGCCUUGAACAGGAGGGCCAACUCCUCAAGCAACAUGGAUUUUAGCAGCAGUGGUGUUUCUCAGGAUUUUGGGUCUGAUGGUGGCAAUGAAAGCACCCAAUGUCUCAGCUCCAGCAGCGUUCAAGGCAGCAUCAUUGAAUAGUCAGUUCUCAUCCCAAUAUAUUUACAAAUCUGUGUAUGAGAAUGGCAAAACUGUCUACUGCCACACCACUGGGGAGGUUAUACCAUUUUGAUAGCGGAGAUACUCUCAAGGACUGUAGUGACGUUGGCAUCUCUGAACCAAGCAUAUCCCCACCUGCUAAAAACUCACAACCUGCUAAAGGAGCCCUGCCACAAGGGAAGUCUACUGGGAUGUAAUGUGCAACUUUUACACUCACCUGCACUUUGCGUUCUGAUUUAGAAAUAAUUUGUACUAAUCAUCUAUCAACAGAAUUGCAAUGGUAGAUUCAUCCUUUAGAUGACAAAUCCAAGUUGUUGCUGACACUUUCUUUAAGCUUCCACUGUAUGCUUUUGCGUCGGCCAGGGAGAUGCUGCUGCUCAUUCUACCCUGCAUUACUUGUGAAACUAUAAAAGAUUGUACCUUAAGUGCUUCCUUGUGUUUUGAAAUACUGUGUUUAAUGUCUACCUUUGGCUAGCUGGUUGAGAACCGUGUUGGUUGCCAGUGCAAUUUGUAGUAAAAGGGAAUGUUCCUAUUCUUUUGGAUUUGAAAUAUAUAAUUUAUUUUGUAUCUUUGCUGCUGGUUGACAAAUCCCAAGAUUGGCUCUACGUUAAAGCCACUGACCAUCAAUAUCCCAUUUGGGAUACUAAAGUAUUUAUUUUGUGUUGACAGGUAAACAUCUAAUCCUGUUUUACAAAAACCUGCGAAAGCUUGUACCCCGGAGAUGGGCUACUGUGUCAUGUAACCCUCAAUUCUGUUUUUGUGGUGAAACUGAGCCUGCGCAUACAUCUCAUGGUUGUCUGACUCUGUCAAAUUCAUUUAAAGUGGGCUACUUGCUCAGUUUGAUCCACCAUAACUGAGCUUAACGGCUACUUUCACCCCUAAUUUAGACAAGUUUCUGCUUACUUCCUUUUGGUGGGCCAUUUGUCAACUAUAUUUUAAUACAUGCAGCUUUUCUUCUGUCAUAACUUGUUGCCCCAGAAGACUAAAGUAGUGCUCACAAAUGUCUUACGUUGAUAGAAUAAAUGCAUUAGUCAUCUUAACAGGUAAAAUGAUUUAAGGACCAGGUAGCAUGCUAGAACAGUGGAAACAUUGGUCCUGUGCCAAAUGUCAUUUUGACAGAUUUUAAGGAAAUGGAAUGCUGAGAAUGGUAACUUCAGUUAGUCUUGGGUGUGUAUUGAAUGUGAUUGAAAUGCUGUCUGCUUGCAAAAGUGUCAAAGAUGACACAUUACAUGUGCAUUUUCCCGAGCGGCUGAUAGAAAUAUUUAUCCACUCCUGUUCCCAAGAAAAUUUAAAGAUUCCUUUUUAUCAUUUCACUGCAACUGAAGUUAAUAUAAACUCUGCAAAAAAAGAAACGUC